UGCCGAGGGACCGUCCACAAAGUGCAUGCGCGCAGGGGAAACGAAGUUCAUCGACUCACACCGUGCCCGGGUAGUUUCGGUUUCGCACUGCAGUCACACCCGAGACUCCGGACCACAGCCCACACCAAGAAAGAAGUGGCAGCCAAUCACACAGAGCGUACUCUCAAUCGGAAACAACCGUCUGCCUGGAGGACUGCAUUGGGGGACUCACCCAGAGCAGAGUAACCAAUUGACCUCAUCUCCAUAUUUUUGGAAUGUGGCAUGAAACCAGAAUUUGUGGAGGAAACCCACACAGACACAAGGAGAACAUGGAGGCUCCACCCAGAUAAGAACUGGAACCCAGAACUUUUGAGAAAUUCUGAGAGGCAAACCUGCUAAUCACCAAGCCAGCAUGCACCUUGAAUAACAGCAAACUCAAGUUGCAUUACUCAAUACAUUCAAAAAUUAUUGGUGUUGUUUACGCUGCAGACUGUGCUUAUGUGAUCUUACAACAUUGGAGGCAGAGCAAAGUUGAUUGCAGCCAAGCAUCAAAAAAGACCUUUAAGGAUUUAAAUUUUGGAUCUUAAUUUAUCACGUUACACAUUAGUUUUGGGAUCUUUUUUGCACUUUUUAGGAACAUUACCCCUCUAACAAAUACCUAACAAGCCAACCUGUAAGCCAAUGGGAGACUGUGCAUGUCUACAUAUGUGUGUGUGUCCUAGUACGUGUGACCUUGAGAUCUGAAGCCAGAAUGGGUGGGAAGGACUUAAAAGUGAACAUCUUCGUCAACUACUGGAAGCAACUGGCCCGCAGUUUUGCUCUGCUGGCCCACAGCUGCGUUCUGCUGGCCCAUUACACCACACUGUUUUCUGGCUGUGUGUUCCGCUCUGUCCGCUGCUUCGUGGAAGUGGUGAGGUGGACGUCUGUUGUGGCACAGGGGACAGUCUCAGCCUUCGAAUCCGUCCACCGGCACCUGUACAGGUGGACCUGGAGCGGAAGACGUGGAGGCAGUGUUGCCAAGGACACGCUCUCCAGCAGUGGGACGGAGUCGGACUGAUGGCUGCUAAAAUAAGAUUUCAAUCUGAAUUCAAAAUUGCAUUCAGACAUGUGGGUUCAAAGGUCAUGGUUUUAAAGGAGUGAUAUAUAGUAAAUGCAGGGAUAAAUUUAACAGACAUGUGCUGUAUUAGUAGCAAAGUCUAUAUAUAGGCUUAUAAGGUGGUAUUAAUAUAAAAUGUGUAUUUAGAUUAAAGGCAAAACAACAUAAUGGAUAAUUAAGUAAUAUUAGUAAGAGUAAUAUAAAUGCUAUUGGGUGAAAUUUGGGCCAAACAGUGGGUAUAAUAAAAAGUGUAAUGCUGAUACAGUUUAAAAGCGUGAUAUAAACACAAUGCAGCACAUAGGUUGUCAGAUUGACACACUGUAUAUGGUAGAUAAAAGAAAGAAAAUAGCACUGUUAAGGAGGUUUUAAUAUGAGUUGUAUAUUUAACCUAAUGAGAAAAUAUAAUGUUUCAAUAUAAGAAAUAAUAUAAUGCUGAUAUUGUAAAAAAAUGCUAUAAGAUAAUUUGAUACAGGGUGUCAGAUGGAUUCCUUAGAAAGGAAAAACAGACUUCUGAGGAGGUUUUAAUGGAUUAUGUAUUCAAACUAAAGAGAAUAGAUCCUAAUGUUUGAAUAUAAAAAAAUGUUGUAAUGCUAAAAAUGCAACAAAAAAAAGAGCAUGGCGUGUCGGAUCAACCAUUUCUUCAUUUAUAGUUGAAGGCAAAAAAUAUAUAUAGACUUUUUAAAGGUGAUUUUAUAUGAAUUGUGUAUUUAGAUGAACAGUUAAAGGUCAGGCAGGUGAAAAUAUAACUAAAGGGUAAAUGUUAAAGGGCCAGUUUCUCAGACAUUGGAGUGUUUAAAGAAAAGGAAAAUCAUUUUUUAGGCCUUUUAACAGGUUUUUAAUAUGAAUUCUAUAUUCAGACUGAUGAGAAAAGGUCAUUAUAAUAUAAUAAGUGAAGUAAUGCUGAUAUAGUCUAAAAGAGUGAUUUAAAUACACAAAAAAUGCCAGUUUAUAGCAUGAGUCUAUAGCAUGGGUUGACAUAUUAACUCCUUGUUUAAUAUGUAAUACAUGGAAGAAAGGAAAGUAAAGCUUUAAAGGAGGUUUUAAUGGCCUUAUGUACAUUUUAUUGCACAGCUUCCUGGAUAUCAAGUGUGUCUCACAUCCACACUGUGUUCUAUAUAUGCAGUAAAUCCCAGCAGCAUUCGACUGGACUGUGUUAUAUCUAAUCAAGGGUGUUUUGUCAGUGAUUAAGAUAAAUAACAUAAUAUACACAGUUUAAUACAUAAUGAAUGGAUGUUUAAAUGAUGCGAGUUCAGUGCAUUUCUAUUUGUUAGAGUGAAUCUGAUUGACCAGAUUGCACAAAUAACAAGUGUGCAUGAUCCUAACAUUAUAGUUAUUUUAUUACUAACUCUUCUUAGCUUGUUUUACCUAGCUUGUUUAUAAUUAAAAAUCAAACUGCAGUAUAGAAAACUAUCAAUUUUAUUUACUAUCAAUGUCUUUUGAGUUUGUAUGGAAUGAAGGAAUGAUGAUGUUGGUAAAUUUAUUUAAAAUCUGAACAAAUACAGUGUUAAAUAUUGUAAUGCGACAUAUUAUAAGUAAUUAAAUAGUUAACUUUUUUAGCUGAAUCAGUCAAAUCAGUUGAAUUGCCUACAUUUUAUAUAAAAACAUUAAAUGUGGGACUUCUGAGAAGCAGUAUGAAGGACAGAAAAAGUGUGGCAUUUUAAAUUCAGAGUUUCCUAUUUAAUUUAUUUUUGGAUGCUCUUUUUUUUCAAAGGUUUGAUGUACAGAGGUUAUAUAAAGAUUUCCGGUCCAAUGUUCAGCUGUGUAAAUAUCUGCUCCUGGUUGUGUUUAACCAAACUAACACUUGACUGUUAUAUAUAUAUACGACGCAGGGCUAACACAGGGCUAAAUAAUUGUUCUUGCAUCAUGUUGAUCUUUAGAAGUGGCAAAGGUAAUCAGGGGAAAUACUGUUGGAUGUGCGCUUUUAAGACUGGCAGAUGUGGACAGACUUUAGUGUGCCAGCAAAAAAAGAUAAGACACAAAAACAAAUGAUGACAUUAUGGCAGCAGAAAAGUACACACCUAAAUACAACAGUAAUUUCAAAAUGCUUAGCUCUGGGACGGUUGUGAAAAAAGCUAGUCUUGAGCCCUGUGUUGGCAUUAUUAUACACUAUAUACAGUUAAACAUGUUGAGUAAAUAUAUGUUAUAACUGUGAUAUAACUAGGUAACACAAUACAGAAUCAUGCAUUAAGAGCAUUUUCAUAACAACUGUGUUUAGAUCUGAUUUACUAUCAUUCAUAUUUUUUACUAUUUUUAUUGGUGUUUUUGCUUGUUUUGCAUUUUUCUAAUUACCAUUUUUCUUUUAUUACUGUCAUUCUUGCUUUUAUCGGCUAUUUUAUUAACUCUUAUCUAAUUAUUUUACAUAUAUAUGUUUUUAUUAUAAUGUAUACUUACUAUUUCCAGUCCCUUCCGUAUAAUGUUGAUAAUCUGCUAAAUAGGUGAAAGAAAAGUAACGAAUUUAAGAUUUUUUUAGAACCACUCUCAUCUUCUGUAGUAUUGACAAUCAUACAUAUACAUAUACUUAUUUUAUCAUCUGAAGUUAUAAAUGUAAAACCACUUCAAAAUAAGCACUGUUUACAGUAUGUUAUUUGUACUUAAUGAGAGUCUAUGCAACAUUUCUGAUGAUUUGCAUGUUUUCUGCAGCUAAUUUUUAAUGUGUUGUUUAUGCACUGCUCUGUUUCAACAUAUACUCUUCCAGUCAGUUUGACCCAGUAGGGACAAUAAAGGUAAAUGGUAAAUAUGUAGACAGUAACUGAAGCCAUCCUUUAAUAAAUACAAAUAUUAGUUAAUACAAAUAUAUUAUUGUAAAUUAUUACAAAUCAUUACAAAACCAUGAUCCGUGGUGGAUUUCCCUAAAUAUUAAUUUCAUUUGUUUAUGAGGCAAAGAUCAAUGGAAUUUGGAAUGGAAUGGUUUAUGGAAAGAAUAAUUUUUGUACCUACUUUACUGUCUGUGUGUGUGUGUGUGUGUGUGUUUAAACCCACCAUUUACCCUGAGGGGAGGGAGUUUUAUCAUCUGACGAUGUUCUGACUACAGAUCCAUGGAUUAAUCACUGUAUUUAUUGUAGUAUAUACUGUAGCAUUGUAUAUUGUGAAAAUGACUGAAUGUGAUAAAACUUCUAAAUAAACUCAUAUGUGCAUUAAUA